ACGGAAGGCAGCAGUAGGGAAUAUUGCACAAUGGGGGAAACCCUGAUGCAGCAACGCCACGUGUGGGAAGAAGCAUUUCGGUGUGUAAACCACUGUCGUGAAGGAGUAAUGCCUGGUCUCGGCCAGGUUGAAUGUACUUUGAAAGGAAGCACCGGCAAACUUCGUGCCAGCAGCCGCGGUAAUACGAGGGGUGCAAGCGUUGUUCGGAAUCACUGGGCGUAAGGGAGCGCAGGCGGAGAUGCAAGCGGUCUGUACAAUCCCGGGGCCUAACCCCGGACCUGCAGACCGGACUGUUUCUCUUGGAUAGCUCAGGGGCCGGCGGAAUUCCUGGUGUAGCGGUGGAAUGCGUAGAGAUCAGGAAGAACACCGAUGGCGAAGGCAGCCAGCUGGGGGCUUAUCGACGCUCAUGCUCGAAAGUGCGGGUAGCAAACAGGAUUAGAUACCCUGGUA
rnacentral:rRNA from 1 species